AGAGUUUGAUCCUGGCUCAGGAUGAACGCUGGCGGCGUGCUUAACACAUGCAAGUCGAGCGAAGCAAUCUAAGUGAAGUUUUCGGAUGGAUCUUGGAUUGACUGAGCGGCGGACGGGUGAGUAACGCGUGGAUAACCUGCCUCACACAGGGGGAUAACAGUUAGAAAUGACUGCUAAUACCGCAUAAGCGCACAGUACCGCAUGGUACAGUGUGAAAAACUCCGGUGGUGUGAGAUGGAUCCGCGUCUGAUUAGGUAGUUGGUGGGGUAACGGCCCACCAAGCCGACGAUCAGUAGCCGACCUGAGAGGGUGACCGGCCACAUUGGGACUGAGACACGGCCCAAACUCCUACGGGAGGCAGCAGUGGGGAAUAUUGCACAAUGGGCGAAAGCCUGAUGCAGCGACGCCGCGUGAGUGAAGAAGUAUCUCGGUAUGUAAAGCUCUAUCAGCAGGGAAGAAAAUGACGGUACCUGACUAAGAAGCCCCGGCUAACUACGUGCCAGCAGCCGCGGUAAUACGUAGGGGGCAAGCGUUAUCCGGAUUUACUGGGUGUAAAGGGAGCGCAGACGGCGAUGCAAGUCUGGAGUGAAAGCCCGGGGCUCAACCCCGGGACUGCUUUGGAAACUGUAUGGCUAGAGUGCUGGAGAGGCAAGCGGAAUUCCUAGUGUAGCGGUGAAAUGCGUAGAUAUUAGGAAGAACACCAGUGGCGAAGGCGGCUUGCUGGACAGUAACUGACGUUCAGGCUCGAAAGCGUGGGGAGCAAACAGGAUUAGAUACCCUGGUAGUCCACGCCGUAAACGAU
rnacentral:rRNA from 1 species